rnacentral:rRNA from 1 species
UGGGGAAUAUUGGACAAUGGGCGCAAGCCUGAUCCAGCAAUGCCGCGUGAGUGAUGAAGGCCUUAGGGUUGUAAAGCUCUUUCGCACGCGACGAUGAUGACGGUAGCGUGAGAAGAAGCCCCGGCUAACUUCGUGCCAGCAGCCGCGGUAAUACGAAGGGGGCUAGCGUUGUUCGGAAUUACUGGGCGUAAAGGGCGCGUAGGCGGCCUGUUUAGUCAGAAGUGAAAGCCCCGGGCUCAACCUGGGAAUAGCUUUUGAUACUGGCAGGCUUGAGUUCCGGAGAGGAUGGUGGAAUUCCCAGUGUAGAGGUGAAAUUCGUAGAUAUUGGGAAGAACACCGGUGGCGAAGGCGGCCAUCUGGACGGACACUGACGCUGAGGCGCGAAAGCGUGGGGAGCAAACAGGAUUAGAUACCCUGGUAGUCCACGCCGUAAAACGAUGAAUGCUAGACGUCGGGGUGCAUGCACUUCGGUGUCGCCGCUAACGCAUUAAGCAUUCCGCCUGGGGAGUACGGCCGCAAGGUUAAAACUCAAAUGAAUUGAC